GAAUAUGAAGCGAUUUAUUGCAAUUAGUUUCGACCUAAUUUUAGGUAUCUUACCCUUAUUCU
rnacentral:tRNA from 1 species